UUUUGUAGACCAGAAUUUCUAGGCUAAUAUGAAAAGACCCUCUCUCCAAAAAGAUUCAAUUAAAGAGAAUAAUCCUCGGCCAAGGACAUGUUUUCAGGUUGUCCCUCUCUUGUUGAUGUUACAAUACCUGACAUUUACUCUAAUAUCUAUGGCAGAAUAUGACAGAACUUUUAAGAAAGUCAAAAUUAUGAAGACUCGAGGCGGAUUUACAAUAUUACGUUAGUCCUGACAUUACGUUGACGCAGGAGUCAAACUCUAACGUAAAGCA